GUGUGUCUUCAGCAUUUACCUUUCUCCAGCGUCGGACUCCCUUGGCGCUGGGGAUCCCUCCGCCUCUCAGCUCCGAAUGCACAUGUGCGGCAAGAGGCGCGCGCGCAUUUAAACCGCCCAUAGGAAAGCAUUACUCAAUGCUUUCCUAUGGACGUACAGUGUCUUCUCACUGUGAUUUUCACAGUGAGAAUCAUGGAAGCUCCUCUAGCAGCUGUCAAUGAGACAGCCACCAGAGGCUGGAUUAACCCUCAGUGAAAC